rnacentral:rRNA from 1 species
AUUGAACGCUGGCGGCAUGCCUUACACAUGCAAGUCGAACGGUAACAGGUCUUCGGAUACUGACGAGUGGCGAACGGGUGAGUAAUACAUCGGAACGUGCCUAGUAGUGGGGGAUAACUACUCGAAAGAGUGGCUAAUACCGCAUGAGAUCUACGGAUGAAAGCAGGGGAUCGCAAGAUCUUGUGCUACUAGAGCGGCCGAUGGCAGAUUAGGUAGUUGGUGGGAUAAAAGCUUACCAAGCCGACGAUCUGUAGCUGGUCUGAGAGGACGAUCAGCCACACUGGGACUGAGACACGGCCCAGACUCCUACGGGAGGCAGCAGUGGGGAAUUUUGGACAAUGGGCGCAAGCCUGAUCCAGCAAUGCCGCGUGCAGGAUGAAGGCCUUCGGGUUGUAAACUGCUUUUGUACGGAACGAAAAGCCCUGGGUUAAUACCCUGGGGUCAUGACGGUACCGUAAGAAUAAGCACCGGCUAACUACGUGCCAGCCGCCGCAGUAAGAC